rnacentral:rRNA from 1 species
GCCUCUUAUAAAUCACCUUGAACUUUCCCGAUCAUGCGAGCUUUACGGAAGCUACGCGAGGUUGAGCUCGGCUAUGACCUUGGAAGGGCGAAUGCCUGGGAAUGCCACGUGCUGUAGGCU